rnacentral:lncRNA from 1 species
AACGAAUCGAAGCAGUGCAAACAAGGAGAAGCAAGACGCGCCAUUCCCGAUCAUUCUCCAUUUCUCCACCUUUCCUAGCUCGAUUUGCGAAGUUGGUCGCCGACUACAGACUGGAAGUCUUGGACGGACCUCCUGUGGCCACUGGCUCUGACUUUGUGAACUAGGGUGAGCACCUUUUUCCUUCUAUCGUUCUCGUUUUUGUUUUAAUUUUUUGCUUUUUUUAAUUUUCCUUCUAUGACAAAGAAAUGAGAAUUGUGAAUUUGUGAUUUAUGAUAAAGAAUUUAUGUUGUAUGAGUUUUGAGUUAUGAUUUAUCAUUUAUCAUUUAAAAGUUUUGAUUUUGAUUUGGGAAUUUAGGUUUAGGAAAUUAGGGAUAUGUGAAAAAAAUUAAUGGAGAAGAUGAUGGGCUCAAUUGAACCAUGUGUAUUAAGCUAUAUUUUUAUAUGUAUAAAAUUUUCGUGUUAGUGCAUUUACAUAUUUGUUG